rnacentral:lncRNA from 1 species
GUCACCACCCGCCAUUGUUGGAAGAAAGAAAGAGCUUAAAAAUGCAAUUUCGGGUUUAACAAAAAUUGAGUGAAAUGGAUUUGUUUGAGGCAAGAAAAUUAAUCCUAGAGAUGAAUGAAGCUAAUUUAUGAUGUAGAGUGAAUUAAAAAUGGGCUAAAGGAAGCUUGAAAAUGAAGAGAGAGAAACGGGUAGAGUGAGAAUUU